CCUGACGACCAUAGCCCGCUGGAACCACUCCUUCCCAUCCCGAACAGGACCGUGAAACGGCGGCGCGCCGAUGAUAGUACGGAGUUCCCGUGCGAAAGUAGGUCAUUGUCAGGC
rnacentral:rRNA from 1 species